UGUGUAGUACAGACCUUAACGUAUUUAAAAAACAAUCAAAAAAAAAGAAGAGGGAGAAAAAUUCUAAAAAAAAGUCUAAAAGGGGGGGGAAGCUCUGA
rnacentral:rRNA from 1 species